GUCAAUCACCCCACGGAUAAAUCCGGGGCUUGAGAACAUCAAGCCCAGGUUGACCAGGCACAGCCACCGACGAGAAAUCGUCGACGGGGCUACGUUGGAAGCGAAUACAUAGGCACCUUGGAAUGCCCUCCCAGUUCCAAGCUCUGCG
rnacentral:sRNA from 15 species